GAAUUCUCCCUGGCGGAGCUCAGAGUGACACUGACGGGCCAUCUGCCGCGUCCAGAGCAGCAGGCGGCAUCCGGGGGGAGCGUGGCCGGCCCGGGGGCCUCAGGCGGGCUUCCUGGAACCCCGGCCCCACGGCCGCCUCCACCCUGACACAGGCCAGAUAAGAGCCGGGCCGCAUUAUCAGAGGCCGGCAGCGCACUGUCCCCGCGGCCCACGAGGAAGGCAGGACGGGGGGCUCCUCCGAGCGUCUUCUGAGUGGCCAGGCUAGACAGGCUUUGCUGGGACCUCGCUCGUCUCCUGCCCCGGAUGGGAGCCACCCUUGCUGCAGCCGUAGAGGAAGCCAGGCUGCUUCGCGGGGGACAGCGUGACAAGGUCCUGAACGUGACACGGUCCUGAAUGUGCAGACCUGCUGGACGGUGACAGCCAUGUCCGUGCGGGUGCGAUUCCUGUCCGCUGGGGACACAGGGGCUGUGGGUCUCGUGGGCCGGAGCGCCUCCUUCGCGGGCUUCAGCAGUGCACAGAGCCGGAGGAUUGCAAAGUGCAUCCACAGGAACUCAGUGAGGUCUCGGAUACCUGCAAAGUCCUCCAAGAUGUAUGGCACACUGCGGAAGGGGUCUGUCUGCCUGGAUCCCAAGCCACAGCAAGUGAAGAAAAUCUUUGAAGCUCUGAAGAGAGGCCUCAAGCAGUGCCUGAGCGUCCAGCAGGCGGAGCUGGAUUACCUGUCAGGACGCCACAAGGACACCCGCAGAAGUUCCAGGCUGGCCUUCUAUUAUGACCUGGACAAGCAAACGCGCUCUGUGGAAAGGCACAUUCGGAAGAUGGAAUUUCACAUUAGCAAGGUGGAUGAACUCUACGAGGGCUACUGCAUCCAGUGCCGCCUGCGGGAGGGCGCCUCCAACAUGCAGCGGGCCUUCUCCAGGUGCCCGCCGAGCCGCGCCUCCCGAGAGAGCCUGCAGGAGCUGGGCCGCAGCCUACAGGAGUGCACUGAGGACAUGUGGCUCAUCGAGGGAGCCCUGGAGGUUCACCUGGGCGAGUUCCAAGUGAGGAUGAAAGGCUUGGUGGGCUACGCACGCCUCUGUCCGGGAGACCAGUACGAGGUGCUCAUGCGCCUGGGCCGCCAGCGCUGGAAGCUUAAGGGCCGGAUUGAGUCAGACGACAGCCAGACCUGGGAGGAGGAGGAGAGGGCCUUCAUCCCCACCCUGCACGACAACUUUGAGAUUAAGGUGACCGAGCUGCGUGGCCUGGGCUCACUGGCGGUGGGCACAGCGACGUGUGACAUCACCGAGUUCUUCACCGCCAGGCCUCAGGUCAUCGUGGUGGACAUCACAGAGCUGGGGACCAUCAAGCUACAGCUGGAGGUGCUGUGGAACCCAUUUGACGCUGACAGCUUCCUGGUGUCACCAAGCCCCACUGGCAAGUUCUCCGUGGGCAGCAGGAAGGGUUCCUUGUACAAUUGGACACCCCCAAGCACCCCCAGCUUCCGAGAGAGAUACUAUCUGUCUGUCCUACAGCAGCCGGCACAGCAGGCCUUGAUGCUGGGCGGGCCGAAGGCCACCUCCAUCCUCAGCUACCUGGCCGGCAGCGACCUUCAGGGCCCUGGGCUGUGGAGACAGAGUCAGGAGCUGCCUGAGAUGGACUCCUUCAGCUCCGAGGACCCCCGAGACACUGAGACCAGCACAUCAGCGUCCACCUCGGACGUGGGGUUCCUGCCCCUGGCCGUUGGCCUCAAUGCCUCCAUUGAAGAGGAGGUUCAGGAGGAACCCCCAGCCCUGGGCCUCCUGCCAGAGGUGGCCCACCUGGCUGGAGGCCCAUUUGUUGAGCAGCCUGGAUGGAGGCAUUUGGGAGUAGACAGCCCCAAGCUGGCCCAGGGCUCCCUAUUCCACAACCACACAAUCCUGGGCCGUGACGAGGGAGAAACAGGGCACAGAGUGGAUGAACCUGGGGUGACCCUCGAGAGGCCCCUGCAGGAGGUCCUGGAUUUACUGAGGUCUGUGGAUCCCAGCCAGCCCCAGCUCCGGGAGCUGGAGUACCAGGUCCUCAGCUUCAGGGAGCGGCUGGAGCCCCAGGGAGCCCGCCCGGAGCAUGCCUCUGCCGAGAGCCUGAUGGAAUGCAUCCUGGAGAGCUUCGCCUUCCUCAAUACUGACUUCGCCCCACAGGAGCUGCCCCUGUUUGGGGGUUCCCAGGACCCCAGAAAGGAGAGGCCCCCGCCCCCACCGCCAUCACUGGAAGCAUCUAGGAUGCUCACGGCUGGUGCCUCAGAGCUGGACGUGCUGCUCAUGGUCCACCUCCAAGUCUGCAAGGCCCUGCUGCAGAAACUGGCCUCUCCUAAUUUGUCACGGAUGGUCCAGGAAUGUCUUCUGGAAGAAGCUGUGCAGCAAAAACAGGUGCUGGAGACUCUUUCUGCGCUUGACUUUGAGAAGGUCAGCAAGGCAACCUCCAUUGAGGAAGUCAUCCCGCAGGCUGCGCGGAGGAAGGGGUGCCUGAGGCUGUGGAGAGGGUGCACGGAGCCCGGCGCGGUCCUGGCCUGCCCCGCCACAUCGCUCCUGGACCAGCUCAAGAAGACAUUCCUGCACAGAGUCAGAGGGAAAUACCCAGGACAGCUGGAAACCGCAUGCCGCAGGCUCCUGGAGCAGGUGCUCAGCUGCGGUGGGCUGCUCCCCAGAGCCGGGCUCCCAGAAGAACAGACCAUCACCUGGUUCCAGUUUCACAGUUACCUGCAGAGGCAGAGCGUCUCUGACCUGGAGAAGCACUUUGCCCAACUCACCAAGGAAGUCACUCUCAUCGAGGAGCUACGGUGCGCGGGGCAGCUCAGGGCGGUCAGGAAGCUGCAGGGGAAGCGGCUGGGCCAGCUUCAGCCCCUGCCCCAGACGUUAACAGCCUGGGCACUGCUGCAGCUGGAUGGGACCCCGCGGGUGUGCAGGGCAGCCAGCACUCGACUGGCCGGUGCAGCCAGGAACAAGAGCUUUCGGGAAAAGCACCCUGAUUUCCCAGGCUUUGCUCUUCUACACCAAUGCCCUGACCGAGGAUGAUGCAAAACUCCAGCAAGCUGCGUGCGUGGCGCUAAAACAUCUCAGGGGCAUGGAAAGCGUUGAUCAGAUCGCCAGCCUGUGCCAGUCUGACCUGGAGGCCGUACGAGCUGCAGCCCGGGAGGCCACACUGUCAUUCGGUGAAAAAGGACACUUAGCUUUUGAGAAGAUGAACAAACUUUGCUCAGAGCAAAGAGAAGGUGGCUUUUGCCAGGAGGCAGACGUUGAGAUCACAAUAUUCUGAGAAGCCUCAGCCGCUGAGCUCAAACCUGGCAUCUUUGCUUUUGUUGCUGCCCAACCUCUUCACAGGGCCGGGGCUUUGGUGGGGGCACAGUGCGUGCUCCCCCAGUCGCUUGAGCUGCCUGGAGCUCCCUGAAUCUUCAAACGAGUUACAAAGUCCAGGCCACCACGGAGGCUGUGUGUAGGAGCCGAAAAAGGUGAAGUCAGCACUUCAGAGGCUGCACAACAGACAACUUCAAUCAAAUGAUCAAUUUUUUGGAUUUGACAAUCUGUCUGACCUUCCUCAGAAAGCAGAGCUGGGUCAAUGCCAGGCUGCUGCACCACAAAGGGCUGGGCCAGGCAGGGUGAGGCCUGGCAUUCGAGGCUCCAAGAUGAAUGUGCUGAGCUGGAGGUCUCCCUGUGAGUUGGCAAGCUUGGCACUUCUGGUCCCAAACUGGGAUUGAAGUGGCAAGCAGGCCGAGUGACCCUGCUAAUAAGGAAAUAGGGCGAUGGGUCGAAUCAUUUCAACAGCAGCAAGCUGUCACCUUGGCAAGCUGGGAAAGGCAAACGGCCAGGAUUUCUAUGAUUCAUUUGUGACCUACACUGCAGCCCAAAUAACAGUGCGGAGCCUGGUGGCGGCCUGCUGACCGUGGGCUUUAUUUUCACUGUGUUCAGUAGCACAAGGAAAAGAGAAUGCCACUGGUCAAGAAGUUGGAAGUGUCAUGGCAGUAAAGGCAUGUACUUUUAUCUCAUUAAUCAAAAUGGAAUCCAACUUUUGAAGUCAACUUAAAGCCUAUUAAACAGUUUCAGAAGCCAUAAGCUAGUUUGAAAAAAAGACUCACUGAAAAGCAUGUUUAAAGAAAGAAAAUUAGUUUCCUAUUUAAGUCUAUUAAAAAAAUGCUAAUGUGUCCUCAGCUGUUGUGUUAAUAAUGUAGAAAACCUAGGGGUCUGAAUGAGGCUAUCAACAAUGGCCUUGAAAACUUUGUAAUUUAAACAUCCUCAUUUAAACUUUCUGUAUAUAUUUUGUGCUUUUUGGUUUAACUUAGUAUUUAUUUACCUCAUUCCUAUGUUCAAUCUUCUGACAUUUCAAUUAAAAAAUGGUUUUUAUUGGUGUUUCACUUUA